UGGGGAAUUUUGGACAAUGGGCGAAAGCCUGAUCCAGCAAUGCCGCGUGUGUGAAGAAGGCCUUCGGGUUGUAAAGCACUUUUGUCCGGAAAGAAAUGGCUCUGGUUAAUACCUGGGGUCGAUGACGGUACCGGAAGAAUAAGGACCGGCUAACUACGUGCCAGCAGCCGCGGUAAUACGUAGGGUCCAAGCGGUAAUCGGAAUUACUGGGCGUAAAGCGUGCGCAGGCGGUUGUGCAAGACCGAUGUGAAAUCCCCGAGCUUAACUUGGGAAUUGCAUUGGUGACUGCACGGCUAGAGUGUGUCAGAGGGGGGUAGAAUUCCACGUGUAGCAGUGACAUGCGUAGAGAUGUGGAGGAAUACCGAUGGCGAAGGCAGCCCCCUGGGAUAACACUGACGCUCAUGCACGAAAGCGUGGGGAGCAAACAGG
rnacentral:rRNA from 1 species